UACGUAGGGGGCAAGCGUUGUCCGGAUUUAUUGGGCGUAAAGAGCUCGUAGGCGGUUCCGUAAGUCGUGAAGUCAAAUCUCUGGGCUCAACCCAGAAUCGCUCCGAUACUGCGGUGACUGGAGUCCGGUAGGGGAGUGUGGAAUUCCUGGUGUAGCGGUGAAAUGCGCAGAUAUCAGGAGGAACACCAACAGCGAAGGCAGCACUCUGGGCCGGUACUGACGCUGAGGAGCGAAAGCAUGGGGAGCGAACAGG
rnacentral:rRNA from 1 species